GCUUACAAAUAGAACAAAUGUAUCCACACCAAUCAAUAAAGUUAUUGAAAACUGAAGUGUGUUACGGUGUUCAAAUGAAGAAAUGAAAAUACAAGAGUUACUGACUUUAGAGUGUGGCCACGGGUUUGGCCAUCACAAUGUGCAGACUCCAGCUGUGGUAAUGCGGGCGGAUGAAGAUGGUCACUGAUGGACCUCCACCCCUGCCUUCUGGUCAUCUGUGUUACUGAUUAAGACUUACCUCUGCUCUGUGCGUGUGUGUGUGUGUGCAUGUGUAACAGUGCCCCAAGCAGAUGAGGGCACAGCAGGCGUGAUGCCAACUCAUGCAGCUUCUCCUUAGAAGUCACUCAGCGCCCCGUCCGUGUAGACAAAGAGCAAUAAUGGGAGAAAAAAGACACAGACUAGGCUCCUCCAGGCAGACCCAUUGCUAACCAGCCUCUAAGCGCUGAAUGAGAAGGCAGACCCCCGCCAUGCCAGGUGAUUUCAAAGACAAGGGUGUGUUAUCUGUAGUUUGUGUGGGAGACAGUGUGAUACGCUCCCUCUGUACAUGGCUAAUCCCCUCAUAUGGCACAGCUCCGACUCCACCUCAGGGCCAAAACACAGAGGCACCGUAGCAUGAAUGUAGCUCUGUGCAAUAUUAAAAAGAAUAAAGAAAAUGAAAUAAUAAUUAAAUCUAGCGCUGUGUUUUCAUAGAUUCACCAGGUCUUUCUCCCAGUGAGAGUGAUGAUUCAGCUUCUCAUCUGGGUCCUGUGCCAGUAUAGCAUUUACUAGCAGAUGGAUAAACAGGUUUGGAAAUCCCCUCCCUGUACUAAGUGUUCUAGGUUUCCGAGUGUUUUCCCAGUUUAGGUUUUCAUGGUUGGUUCUGUUUGCUACUCAGCCAGAAUAAACAGCUCGCUUUUUUAAAAGUAGGCUCCAGAAUGGAUGAUGGGAUGUUCGCAUGUCUUUAUGUAACACUGAGUGUGCUGAACUAAAGAUUUUGACAGCUGGACAAGUGAUGCCUUAUUCAAAGAAACAUGAGAUGAGUGCAGCAUAUUAUCUGAACAGAGAUCAUUCAAUGAGCAAGAAUAAACACUGACAAGAGAAACACUUCACUGUUGAUUAUCAUAUGAAGUCUAAUGAAAGCUGUUAAUCUGUUAAUAUCCUGUUAAUCUGCAUACAGCAAAUAAAGAACAUGUGACUUUAAAGCAUCCAGCAAAGUGAUAACUGUCCUCUGCCCACUAAGUAGUGACUCUACAAAAGAUUACAUUCAAUAUCAUCUUUAUAUUAUAUUUAUAUUAUAUUUAGUUAUUCUCCAGUGCAACAAAGCCAUGUAGGGCAAUGUAAGGAGCUCUGUGAUUGGUUAGGAAAGGACAGACUGGCUACCUCGAUUUUUCUUCACUGCACAUCGAUCCAUAGCUUUGCACUGCAAAGGCUAACAAUAGACUUUUGCUUUUACAAAGACAUUUAGCCUCGGUAUUCCCUCUCUUAAAA